GUAGCAAGCUAAGUGAGCUUGAUUGUGGGAAAAACUCCGCAGUUAAGCACGCUUGAGCCAGAGGUGUCUUGGGAUGGGUGACCACCUGAAAAGUCCUGGUUACCGGGUGCA
rfam:Picea glauca, whole genome shotgun sequence.